rfam:Brassica napus, WGS project CCCW01000000 data, contig: 9283
GAGCUGUGAUGAUAUUUGGCCUUAGCAUUGGUUGGGUCCAUCGCAAUUCUCUGAUUAAUCGGAUGUGAUUGCCUCUCUGAGCUC